rnacentral:rRNA from 1 species
UACGUAGGGGGCAAGCGUUGUCCGGAUUUAUUGGGCGUAAAGAGCGUGUAGGCGGCCUGACAGGUCUGCUGUGAAAACUCGAGGCUCAACCUCGAGAUGUCGGCGGAAACCGUCUGGCUAGAGUCCGGAAGAGGAGAGUGGAAUUCCUGGUGUAGCGGUGAAAUGCGCAGAUAUCAGGAGGAAUACCCAUAGCGAAGGCAGCUCGCUGGGACGGUACUGACGCUGAGGCGCGAAAGCGUGGGGAGCGAACAGG